GCGAACGUGUUUUAAUGGCAAAAUGACAGCCUUCCAAGCUGUUAACGUGGGUUCGAGUCCCACCGUUCGCU
rnacentral:tRNA from 1 species